rnacentral:rRNA from 1 species
GAUGAACGCUGGCGGCGUGCCUAAUACAUGCAAGUCGAGCGAACGGACGAGAAGCUUGCUUUUCUGAUGUUAGCGGCGGACGGGUGAGUAACACGUGGAUAACCUACCUAUAAGACUGGGAUAACUUCGGGAAACCGGAGCUAAUACCGGAUAAUAUUUUGAACCGCAUGGUUCAAAAGUGAAAGACGGUCUUGCUGUCACUUAUAGAUGGAUCCGCGCUGCAUUAGCUAGUUGGUAAGGUAACGGCUUACCAAGGCAACGAUGCAUAGCCGACCUGAGAGGGUGAUCGGCCACACUGGAACUGAGACACGGUCCAGACUCCUACGGGAGGCAGCAGUAGGGAAUCUUCCGCAAUAGGCGAAAGCCUGACGGAGCAACGCCGCGGGAGUGAUGAAGGUCGUCGGAUCGUAAAACUCUGUUAUUAGGGAAGAACAUAUGUGUAAGUAACUGUGCACAUCUUGACGGUACCUAAUCAGAAAGCCACGGCUAACUACGUGC